ensembl:miRNA microRNA 17
CAAAGUGCUUACAGUGCAGGUAGUGAUAUAUGUGCAUCUACUGCAGUGAAGGCACUUGU